CAUUAGCACGUCUGGGUGUGGGAGUUGAUUGACUAUGAACUAUUAUAAUGCAUCAGAAUGUUUAUUGGGAUGCUGAGCAGGUGUAAAAAUAAAUAAAUAAAGACAAACCAACAAAUUAGCAGAGGUAUUCAGAAUUAAGCUCCACUUUCCCACUGUUUGCAUUGCAGUUCACAGUGUACUGUAAUAUAAAUCAAAGGUCCCCAACUCAGUAAUGGGAAUUAAUUUGAAAGGUACCGUUCACAGUAUUAAUUAUGUGGUGCACCGCUUAUGUGAAAGCAGGAAACAAGUCACACAGCAUCACUUGAGUAGAACCGCUAUCGGAUUCAACCUGUUGCUAGGAGGGAAACUAAAGGCUUUUGCCGCUGCUGCGGUGUUCAAGUGGUGUCGGACAUUACAGUGUUAAAAACCACGUCAAAGAAAACACACGCAACAUACAGUCUCUAGCUCGAAAAAUAAAUAAAAUUAUAAAAUAGCUAAGCCUCUGUUAUUUUCUGAGAUAAUGUGCACAUACAAUAGUUCUUUUUUUUAUUUUUUAAAUUUAUUUUUUAAAGUUGUUUUACGUCCGUACGAUACCAUUUUCCAUCUGGCAACACAGUGUAGCAGCAGCAUUUCUUCACCAGACCCUCUUUAGUCAAACCUGCUGUGCAAAGUUCCGCUCUCCGUCUCUCUCUCUCUCUCUCCCGUUUCCGCGCGGACGCCGAGGCCGCUCGCAGCAGCGCCGUAGCCAUGGAGACGCGCAAUUACCCGCGAUGCCAACAAUUCACGCUGAAUAAUUUUACCAGCGACCGGACGGGCGCGCGGGGCUGCGGGAACCUCCCCCUCGGCCGCUGUUACCCGCGUCUCCUCCCUCACCUACUGUAGCUCGCCCCGGUUCAGCGCUCAUCCGCCACGUGUUCCAUUCAUGUGCGUGUUUACCGGAGUAAAUAUAGCACACGCGCAGCAGGUUGCCGCACGCGGGCCCGCUGUCAGCCUUAGAUGUAUCAGGGCACCGCAGCUCGCGAACAUUGCGCCUUUCAUCGACCCGGCAGUGAAACCGCUAUUACUCGCAGGGUUUUCUCCACUUCAGUCUUAACGCAAACAGGACAAGGGGACAGUCAGGCUGUGGAGACGCUCCCACUGGUUGCAACGUGUUGCAUGUUACAGCGGCACACGAACACAUCUGUUCAAGUGAUGGCAUCUUGAGCACGUUUAUGCAUCUACUGUACAUCUGCAUAAAGCAUAAAAGGAGUCAUUUUAAGCAACCCUCCACCUGAUUCCACUGUAUCUAUGCCCAGAUCAUCCGUUUCCCUCAUCCACACCCUUUCUCCAUGUUGCUCACCCCUGCUGGAGUUGAGGCCACGGGGACGUCUGCGUGCUCCUGUAGGAAGACAUUAGCGUCAGCGUUAAUGCGGGGCCGCUGUCUGCUCAUUACGGCCUCGAUUCCCCCCCCCCCCGCUGACAGAAGAUCUCGUGGCCGGGCUACGAGCUGACGGACAGCGAAUCUGCGGCUGCACAACCGCUGUCUCCGCAUCGC
rnacentral:lncRNA from 1 species